rnacentral:rRNA from 1 species
UACGAAGGGGGCUAGCGUUGCUCGGAAUCACUGGGCGUAAAGGGUGCGUAGGCGGGUCUUUAAGUCAGGGGUGAAAUCCUGGAGCUCAACUCCAGAACUGCCUUUGAUACUGAAGAUCUUGAGUUCGGGAGAGGUGAGUGGAACUGCGAGUGUAGAGGUGAAAUUCGUAGAUAUUCGCAAGACCACCAGUGGCGAAGGCGGCUCACUGGCCCGGUACUGACGCUGAGGUGCGAAAGCGUGGGGAGCAAACAGG